CAAGUUUGUACCUACCCCAAAGUCAGGGAUAGCUCAUCGAAAGAUGGAUUAAUACCGGAUAGUCCCGUAAGGGUAAAGCCGCAAGGCGCUUUGGGAGGGGCAUGCUUUCUAUCAGCUAGUUGGUGAGGUAAUAGCUCACCAAGGCUAUGACGGAUAGUUGGUCUGAGAGGACGACCAGCCACAAUGGGACUGAGACACGGUCCAUACUCUUACGGGAGGCAGCAGUGAGGAAUCUUCCACAAUGGGGGCAACCCUGAUGGAGCGACACCGCGUGAAGGAUGAAGAUCUAACGAUUGUAAACUUCUUUUCUGAGGGAGCAUAAUGAGAGUACCUCAGGAAUAAGGGACGGCUAAAUACGUG
rnacentral:rRNA from 1 species